GGAAUGUUUAUUUCCUACUUUGUUUAAAAGAAAAAGAUAUCCAUUUUGCUUUCUUGAUUUUGAAGUUAUAGAAAUUAUCUAAUUUACUCCUCCUAAGGCAGACAAGGGUUUUGCUUGCUCAGUGUCCUCUGUGCCCAUCACUGCCACAUCCUGAAACUCCGUCAAACCUGCGAAACACUUCUCAGUCAAGUCAAGAACAUUAAUACCUGAUCUACUGUUUUCCUUGGGGACUUCUCUAUGAAGCCUGUCACUGGCUCCAGUGUGGACUGGGUUCCCCUUGGCCAGCUGCAUAGCAGGCAUAAUGGGCCUUCUUUUCUUUGUCGUCUCUCUCUCCUCCUGGGAACCCUCUGUUUCCUGGAUCUCAGGCUUUUUCAUUGAUUCUCUUAUCUGCGCCUAUGCACUGAGCGAGAGGCCGUGGGCAAUGAAUAUGUUGACAUCUUGCACAUCUGAGAAUAUUGUUAUUCCACCCUCAGACUUGAUUUAUAGUUGAGUUGAGAACAUAAUUCCAGUUAGAAUUCAUUUCCUCAGGACUAUGAAGCAUUUCUCUAUUGUCUUCUACCUGCCAGUAUUGCCACUCAGAAGCUUGAUGCCUUUAUAAUUCCUGAGCAUACGUGACCUGCUGCUUUUUCAUGUCAGGAAGCUCUUAGAAUCCUCUCUUUAGUGCUAGUGUUCUGCAUUUUCUUGAUGAUACGCUUUGGUAUGGUCUUUUUUCCUCUUUCUGCUAGAUAGGAAGUGGGCCCUAUUAAUCUGGAAAUUUAUGGCCUUCAAUUAAUGGAAAUUACUUGUUCUUUGGGAUAUUGAAUGGAAAAUGUUUAAAAUUCCAGAUUCCAACUACAAUCUUUCGGAACCUAAUCUCAGGAGUGGCAUUCCAUCUAUUGGUCAUAUUCUAUUUGUUGAGGCUCGUCAGUAAACUCAACUGGAGGGGAGGAGAUUACACCAGCAUGUGAGUACCAAGAAGGGGACCAUCCGGAGCCAUCUUGGAGGCUGCCUACCACACCUUACUUAAAAACAGACAAGAGUCAGAAUCUCUUCACUUCAUCUGCUUUUCAUGAGAGUGAAACAGUGUUACCUGUAGCAAUACAGGGCCUCAGUCUGAUGUCGAAGAUUUUCCUGAGAUCUCCUACAGACAGAAGGAAUAUGGAAGACUUUUUUCCCCAGAACAGCAACUACAAUAAUUCUAUAAGAUGAUCUUAUCCUGCUAAGAGUAUUAACAAGAAAAAUCACUAAUAGGAAAAUUAAGAGACAUUCAUUACAAAAGUGAUUACUCAAACUCAAAUACAGUUAUCUCAUUUCUCAAAGAAAAGUCUAAAAACCCAGAGAAUUAAAAUCGGAGUUUUUGAGGCAGUUUCCAUAACUCUAUCAUUUCCAGCAGGGAGAAAAAUCAGUUACCCCCAGUCAAUCACAGACAUCAUCUGCUCCUGACAUCCAACCAUCCACAUCGUCAAGGCUCGAUGAUGCUCCUUCUGACGUAUCGUCAGAAGGCCAAUAGUAGCCUGAGGCUAUCACAACACCUCCAUCAUUCACGUUACUUCAUCUCAUCAUGUAGGCAUUGUAUCAUCUCACAACAUCACAAGAAGAAUGAAGUUGCAAGUCACUCAAGGGAAAGCAGAAUUCAAGAAGUGGAUGUCACAAAGCCGACACUGAAAGUGUAAUACUUGGUACCAACCAGGUUUUUGAAGCCAUCAAUGAAGAAAACCCAGACACAGCAUUUGAACUGACACAGACACACACACCCCCCAAAACAAACUUCUGAGGAGCAAAACAAAAUAAGUCCACUCUAGUUUGAAAUUUCUUAAUUAAGGGGUUAUUCACAUAAAUUUUCACAUGCUUACCUUAACAUUUUAUUGGAUAGCUUCUUCAGUAUUUCUAAGACAAAACAAAAAAAUAUUAUAAUUGUUUAGAUCUUUUAAAUACUUAGUAGCUUCAGUUCAAGUUCAUUUUAUUUUGCUUUUUGAUUGGCACAAUUUUAUCUUCCCCUCCUUGCCUAAGACAUAUCCAAGAAAUGCAUUAUCCAAAGUGAUUUCAUUACUGGAAGAAUAUUCAUUAAAAUGUUUGCGAAGUCCUGUGGUUUGAUAGAAUUUGCCCUUUGUUCCACAGCUUUCAGGACUAAAGCGUCUCCAAUUUCAGAGUCGUAAACACUCUAAAACCAUUUUCCUAUCUGUACUUCUUAUAGCUGAGUGAUGCUUUUCCAGGGAAGAGAGGUCUGUUGGAAUUCCCAGCCCAAUUUUAGAUCCAG
rnacentral:lncRNA from 1 species